rnacentral:rRNA from 1 species
CCUACGGGUGGCUGCAGUGGGGAAUAUUGGACAAUGGGGGCAACCCUGAUCCAGCCAUGCCGCGUGUGUGAAGAAGGCCCUCGGGUUGUAAAGCACUUUCAGUGAGGAAGAACGCCUGGUGGUUAAUACCCAUCAGGAAAGACAUCACUCACAGAAGAAGCACCGGCUAACUCCGUGCCAGCAGCCGCGGUAAUACGGAGGGUGCGAGCGUUAAUCGGAAUUACUGGGCGUAAAGCGCGCGUAGGUGGCUUGAUAAGCCGGUUGUGAAAGCCCCGGGCUCAACCUGGGAACGGCAUCCGGAACUGUCAAGCUAGGGUGCAAGAGAGGAAGGUAGAAUUCCCGGUGUAGCGGUGAAAUGCGUAGAGAUCGGGAGGAAUACCAGUGGCGAAGGAGGCCUUCUGGACUGACACUGACACUGAGGUGCGAAAGCGUGGGUAGCAAACAGGAUUAGAUACCCUAGUAGUC